GAUGAACGCUGGCGGCGUGCCUAAUACAUGCAAGUCGAGCGAACGGACGAGAAGCUUGCUUUUCUGAUGUUAGCGGCGGAAGGGUGAGUAACACGUGGAUAACCUACCUAUAAGACUGGGAUAACUUCGGGAAACCGGAGCUAAUACCGGAUAAUAUUUUGAACCGCAUGGUUCAAAAGUGAAAGACGGUCUUGCUGUCACUUAUAGAUGGAUCCGCGCUGCAUUAGCUAGUUGGUAAGGUAACGGCUUACCAAGGCAACGAUGCAUAGCCGACCUGAGAGGGUGAUCGGCCACACUGGAACUGAGACACGGUCCAGACUCCUACGGGAGGCAGCAGUAGGGAAUCUUCCGCAAUGGGCGAAAGCCUGACGGAGCAACGCCGCGUGAGUGAUGAAGGUCUUCGGAUCGUAAAACUCUGUUAUUAGGGAAGAACAUUUGUGUAAGUAACUGUGCACAUCUUGACGGUACCUAAUCAGAAAGCCACGGCUAACUACGUG
rnacentral:rRNA from 1 species